rnacentral:rRNA from 1 species
GUCGAGGGGUAACAGGGAGUGCUUGCACUCUGCUGACGACCGGCGCACGGGUGCGUAACGCGUAUGCAAUCUACCUCUUACUGAGGGAUAGCCCAUGGAAACGUGGAUUAAUACCUCAUAGUAUUAUAAACUGGCCUCAGUUUAUGAUUAAAGGUUACGGUAAGAGAUGAGCAUGCGUCCUAUUAGCUAGAUGGUAAGGUAACGGCUUACCAUGGCUACGAUAGGUAGGGGUCCUGAGAGGGAGAUCCCCCACACUGGUACUGAGACACGGACCAGACUCCUACGGGAGGCAGCAGUGAGGAAUAUUGGACAAUGGGCGAGAGCCUGAUCCAGCCAUGCCGCGUGCAGGAAGACGGCCCUAUGGGUUGUAAACUGCUUUUACAGAGGAAGAACCCUCCUUACGUGUAAGGAGCUGACGGUACUCUAUGAAUAAGGAUCGGCUAACUCCGUGCCAGCAGCCGCGGUAAUACGGAGGAUCCAAGCGUUAUCCGGAAUCAUUGGGUUUAAAGGGUCCGUAGGCGGGUCUAUAAGUCAGUGGUGAAAGUCUGCAGCUUAACUGUAGAACUGCCAUUGAUACUGUAGACCUUGAAUUAGUAUGAAGUGGUUAGAAUGUGUAGUGUAGCGGUGAAAUGCAUAGAUAUUACACAGAAUACCGAUUGCGAAGGCAGAUCACUAAUACUAUAUUGACGCUGAUGGACGAAAGCGUAGGUAGCGAACAGGAUUAGAUACCCUGGUAGUCUACGCCGUAAACGAUGGUUACUAGCUGUCCGGCCUAAUUGAGGGCUGGGUGGUUAAGCGAAAGUGAUAAGUAACCCACCUGGGGAGUACGUUCGCAAGAAUGAAACUCAAAGGAAUUGACGGGGGCCCGCACAAGCGGUGGAGCAUGUGGUUUAAUUCGAUGAUACGCGA